rnacentral:rRNA from 1 species
CAGCCGCGCGGUAAUACGUAGGGUGCAAGCGUUAAUCGGAAUUACUGGGCGUAAAGCGUGCGCAGGCGGUUAUAUAAGACAGAUGUGAAAUCCCCGGGCUCAACCUGGGAACUGCAUUUGUGACUGUAUAGCUAGAGUACGGCAGAGGGGGAUGGAAUUCCGCGUGUAGCAGUGAAAUGCGUAGAUAUGCGGAGGAACACCGAUGGCGAAGGCAAUCCCCUGGGCCUGUACUGACGCUCAUGCACGAAAGCAUGGGGAGCAAACAGGAUUAGAUACCCCAGUAGUCCCUGUCUCUUAUACA